rnacentral:misc_RNA from 1 species
GAUGAAGAACGUAGCAAAAUGCGAUAAGUAAUGUGAAUUGCAGAAUUCAGUGAAUCAUCGAAUCUUUGAACGCACAUUGCGCCCGCCAGUAUUCUGGCGGGCAUGCCUGUUCGAGCGUCAUUUCAACCCUCAAGCCCCCGGGUUUGGUGUUGGGGAUCGGGCUGUACUCCAGCCCGGCCCCGAAAUCUAGUGGCGGUCUCGCUGCAGCCUCCAUUGCGUAGUAGCUAACACCUCGCAACUGGAACGCGGCGCGGCCAAGCCGUUAAACCCCUAACUUCUGAAUGUUGACCUCGGAUCAGGUAGGAAUACCCGCUGAACUUAAGCAUAUCAAUAAGCGGAGGA